UAGGCCUUUCCCAGUACACAUUGACAGUAUUUUCAAUACCCCGUGACUGGUUAAAAUGUAGGCAUGUUUUUAUUCUUCUCUUCAAGCAGAGUUAUCGAUCGGACUCCAAAGUACAUGCUGAAGCAAGAAAUAUGACCUGGUGAAGCUUGUGACAGUCUUGUGAAGUCUGGUGGAGCUUGUGACACUACCAAGAUAGUGACUGUCUUAUCUAGGAGUCCAGUUCAUGCCAGGCUCCAGAUGGUGGCCGGCCGGGCCUUGCGGCCUCUGCCAAGGGGCUGGCACCACACCACCAAAGACCCAGCAUGGUGAAGAUCUGGACCCUGGACUUCCAGCCGGCCUCUCCCCAAGGCUGCACUCGGGACCACCUGUCUUCUUUGCAAACUCACUGUGACUCAAUCUGACCUCCAUCAAGUUAGUGCACUGACUGGAUUCCAUGUGGGGCAAACAAGCAAACCCCCACCACCUAAGAUUCUAUUGAGUUACCUCUGAAAAGCGAAGACAUGCCGCUCACACAAGAGGAAGAUGGCUACAAGGACUCCAAUGCUAUAAAGCUUCAUCCCAACAGCAAUUUGCUGAAAAACAAAAUUCUCUGGAGGGAAGAGCCGGGCUGGCUGGUUACAUAAGAGCCUUCUUUACACACUGGUUAAAAUAUAAUGGCAUGUUCCCUCUCAUUUCUGUGAUCAAUUGACUUAGCUACUAUUUCCACUCUCAAAAAAGAAAGUAUGAUGAGAGUUGUUCUUACUUUUGACCAUCUAGAAGAUAGUUAACACCUCAAGAAAGAUGAGGCUGAGAAUAAAAGUAUAGUAAUGUUGCAGA